CCUACGGGAGGCAGCAGUGAGGAAUAUUGGUCAAUGGACGAGAGUCUGAACCAGCCACGUAGCGUGAAGGAUGACUGCCCUCUGGUUUGUAAACUUCUUUUAUAAAGGAAUAAAACGAGGCACGUGUGCCUUUUUGCAUGUACUUUAUGAAUAAGGAUCGGCUAACGCCGUGCCAGCAGCCGCGGUGAUACGGAGGAUACGAGCGUUACCCGGACUUGUUGGGUUUAAAGGAAGCGUAGAUGGGUUGUUAAGUCAGUUGUGAAAGUUUGCGGCUCAACCGUAAAGUUGCAAUUGAUACUGGCGGUCUUGAGUACAGUUGAGGUAGGCGGAAUUCGUGGUGUAGCGGUGAAAUGCUUAGAUAUCACGAAGAACCCCGAUUGCGAAGGCAGCUUACUAAACUGUGACUGACAUUGAUGCUCGAAAGUGUGGGUAUCAAACAGGAUUAGAUACCCUGGUAGUC
rnacentral:rRNA from 1 species